rnacentral:rRNA from 1 species
UGGGGAAUUUUGGACAAUGGGCGAAAGCCUGAUCCAGCAAUGCCGCGUGUGUGAAGAAGGCCUUCGGGUUGUAAAGCACUUUUUGUCAGGAGCGAAACGCUGUCGGCUAAUACCCGGCGGAACUGACGGUACCUGAGGAAUAAGCACCGGCUAACUUCGUGCCAGCAGCCGCGGUAAUACGAAGGGUGCAAGCGUUAAUCGGAAUUACUGGGCGUAAAGCGUGCGUAGGCGGUUUCUUAAGUCUGCUGUGAAAUCCCCGGGCUCAACCUGGGAAUGGCAGUGGAUACUGGGAGGCUAGAGUGUGUCAGAGGGUGGUGGAAUUCCCGGUGUAGCGGUGAAAUGCGUAGAGAUCGGGAGGAACAUCAGUGGCGAAGGCGGCCACCUGGGACAACACUGACGCUGAGGCACGAAAGCGUGGGGAGCAAACAGGAUUAGAUACCCUGGUAGUCCACGCCCUAAACGAUGCGAACUGGAUGUUGGUCUCAACUCGGAGAUCAGUGUCGAAGCUAACGCGUUAAGUUCGCCGCCUGGGGGAGUACGGU